UGCUUUGUUGGAGAAAUCCCCCAUCACACACGCGGUUCAGAUCAAAGCUGCGGUGCUGCUGAUGCUGGGGGGCAAAGACAGGCGGGUGUCUCCUCAUCAGGGGCUGGAGCUUUACAAAGUGCUGAAGAGCAGAGCCUCACCUGUCAGAUUGUUGUGGUUUCCAGAAGACGGUCAUUCUCUGUCCAGGCUGGACACACAAGCUGACUGCUUCAUCAACACUGCUCUGUGGCUGCAGCAGCAUCUAUGAACACAAACUCACCCUGAAGCUGCUGUGCACAUGACUGUCUGUCAGCAAGGCCAAAAAAAGGGGUUCAUGGUUUCUUCCACGCGCCUUUUUACAACUGUACUACUUUAUGUAAAGAAAUGUGCAAAGAUUUUGACAAAAAACUAAACAAAUGUUGAAAAAUAAAAGAUGA